UACGUAGGGCGCAAGCGUUGUCCGGAAUUAUUGGGCGUAAAGAGCUCGUAGGUGGCUUGUUGCGUCUGCCGUGAAAGCCCGUGGCUUAACUACGGGUCUGCGGUGGAUACGGGCAGGCUAGAGGCUGGUAGGGGCAAGCGGAAUUCCUGGUGUAGCGGUGAAAUGCGCAGAUAUCAGGAGGAACACCGGUGGCGAAGGCGGCUUGCUGGGCCAGUUCUGACGCUGAGGCACGAAAGCGUGGGGAGCAAACAGG
rnacentral:rRNA from 1 species